CCUACGGGUGGCAGCAGUGGGGGAUAUUGCACAAUGGGGGAAACCCUGAUGCAGCGACGCCGCGUGUGGGAAGACGGUCCUCUGGAUUGUAAACCACUGUCCCCAGGGACGAAGAUGACGGUACCUGGGGAGGAAGCUCCGGCUAACUACGUGCCAGCAGCCGCGGUAAUACGUAGGGAGCGAGCGUUGUCCGGAAUUACUGGGUGUAAAGGGUGCGUAGGCGGAUUUUUAAGUCAGCGGUAAAAUGUCCGGGCUCAACCCGGGCCGGCCGUUGAAACUGGGGAUCUUGAGUGGGCGAGAAGUAUGCGGAAUGCGUGGUGUAGCGGUGAAAUGCAUAGAUAUCACGCAGAACUCCGAUUGCGAAGGCAGCAUACCGGCGCCCGACUGACGCUGAGGCACGAAAGCGUGGGGAUCGAACAGGAUUAGAUACCCUUGUAGUC
rnacentral:rRNA from 1 species